UACGUAGGGGGCAAGCGUUGUCCGGAUUUAUUGGGCGUAAAGAGCUCGUAGGUGGUUCGGUAAGUCGGAUGUGAAAUCUCCAGGCUUAACCUGGAGGGGUCAUUCGAUACUGCCGUGACUAGAGUUCGGUAGGGGAGUGUGGAAUUCCUGGUGGAGCGGUGAAAUGCGCAGAUAUCAGGAGGAACACCCGUAGCGAAGGCGGCACUCUGGGCCGAUACUGACACUGAGGAGCGAAAGCGUGGGGAGCGAACAGG
rnacentral:rRNA from 1 species